rnacentral:rRNA from 1 species
GGAUGAACGCUAGCGAUAGGCUUAACACAUGCAAGUCGAGGGGCAGCAUGAUCUUAGCUUGCUAAGGUCGAUGGCGACCGGCGCACGGGUGCGUAACGCGUAUGCAACUUGCCUUACAGAGGGGGAUAACCCGUUGAAAGACGGACUAAAACCGCAUACACUUGUAUUAUUGCAUGAUAUUACAAGGAAAUAUUUAUAGCUGUAAGAUAGGCAUGCGUCCCAUUAGCUGGUUGGUGAGGUAACGGCUCACCAAGGCGACGAUGGGUAGGGGAACUGAGAGGUUUAUCCCCCACACUGGUACUGAGACACGGACCAGACUCCUACGGGAGGCAGCAGUGAGGAAUAUUGGUCAAUGGGCGAGAGCCUGAACCAGCCAAGUCGCGUGAAGGAAGACUGUCCUAAGGAUUGUAGACUUCUUUUAUACGGGAAUAACGGGCGAUACGAGUAUUGCAUUGAAUGUACCGUAAGAAUAAGCAUCGGCUAACUCCGUGCCAGCAGCCGCGGUAAUACGGAGGAUGCGAGCGUUAUCCGGAUUUAUUGGGUUUAAAGGGUGCGUAGGUUGUUCGGUAAGUCAGCGGUGAAACCUGAGCGCUCAACGUUCAGCCUGCCGUUGAAACUGCCGGGCUUGAGUUCAGUGGCGGCAGGCGGAAUUCGUGGUGUAGCGGUGAAAUGCAUAGAUAUCACGAGGAACUCCGAUUGCGAAGGCAGCUUGCCAUACUGCGACUGACACUGAAGCACGAAGGCGUGGGUAUCAAACAGGAUUAGAUACCCUGGUAGUCCACGCAGUAAACGAUGAUUACUAGGAGUUUGCGAUAUACCGUCAAGCUUCCACAGCGAAAGCGUUAAGUAAUCCACCUGGGGAGUACGCCGGCAACGGUGAAACUCAAAGGAAUUGACGGGGGCCCGCACAAGCGGAGGAACAUGUGGUUUAAUUCGAUGAUACGCGAGGAACCUUACCCGGGAUUGAAAUGUAGAUGACGGAUGGUGAAA